rnacentral:rRNA from 1 species
GACGAACGCUGGCGGCGUGCUUAACACAUGCAAGUCGAACGGAAAGGCCCUGCUUUUGUGGGGUUCUCGAGUGGCGAACGGGUGAGUAACACGUGAGUAACCUGCCCUUGACUUUGUGAUAACUUCAGGAAACUGGGGCUAAUACCGGAUAGGAGCUCCUGCUGCAUGUUGUGGGUUGGAAAGUUUCGGCGGUUGGGGAUGGACUCGCGGCUUAUCAGCUUGUUGGUGGGGUAGUGGCUUACCAAGGCUUUGACGGGUAGCCGGCCUGAGAGGGUGACCGGCCACAUGGGGACUGAGAUACGGCCCAGACUCCUACGGGAGGCAGCAGUGGGGAAUAUUGCACAAUGGGCGGAAGCCUGAUGCAGAAACGCCGCGUGCGGGAUGACGGCCUUCGGGUUGUAAACCGCUUUCGCCUGUGACGAAGCGUGAGUGACGGUAAUGGGUAAAGAAGCACCGGCUAACUACGUG